AUUUCUUCAGUCAGCCUUUCAUCUGCUGUGAAGGCACUUGAAUGUGUCACCAAUGUGAUGCAAGUUAAAGGGAACAGUUGAAUUCUACCUUAUAAUUGUUUAAAGAACAGUUAUCCUGCAGCAUAUUCCCUUUGGGGAUGCAUUCUAAUGUCCUAGAGUGUGCUGAAAGAAAACGAACCACCCUGAUGUUGAAAUUGUAUAGUCAUAUCAGAAAUGUCACAGAGGGGGCCAUUUUCCUGUAAUACAUCACUUUUUUGUUUAGAUUGAAAGUGAUAAAGAGGGCAAGGCAAAAUAAUAGAUGAUAUGCCUCAUUCUGAAUGCUUUUUUACUCUAAAAAGAAAAAAACCCACAGCCAUCUGUUAUCUGCAUGUCAAGUUGUUGCAACUUGUUUGAAAUGGAUCUCUGUCUUUUGCAACUUGAACCUUGAGUAAUAGUGACAGUACUACUAGUGGUGAAUGUGACAAAUUCCAAUGCACAGGAUUUGGGGAAGGUAAGUAAUGAAGAUUCCUUUAUAUCUGAAGAUUCCUUUAUCUGAUUAGGAUAUUAUGAUGGUAAUAAUAA
rnacentral:lncRNA from 12 species